AGUGCCUUUCACCUCCUGCCAUGAUUCUGAGGCCUCCCCAGCCAUGUGGAAAUGUGAGGACCCAGUGUUCACCCCUCCUGCCACGUGAGGAUGCCCAGCAAGAUGGCCCUCACCAGAUAUCAAAUGCCAGAACUUGAUCUUGGACUUCCCAGCCUCUACAACUAUGAGAAAUAAAUUUCAAUUGUUCAUACAUUA